rnacentral:rRNA from 1 species
CCUACGGGAGGCAGCAGUGGGGAAUAUUGGACAAUGGGGGCAACCCUGAUCCAGCCAUGCCGCGUGUGUGAAGAAGGCCCUCGGGUUGUAAAGCACUUUCAGUGAGGAAGAACGCCUGGUGGUUAAUACCCAUCAGGAAAGACAUCACUCACAGAAGAAGCACCGGCUAACUCCGUGCCAGCAGCCGCGGUAAUACGGAGGGUGCGAGCGUUAAUCGGAAUUACUGGGCGUAAAGCGCGCGUAGGUGGCUUGAUAAGCCGGUUGUGAAAGCCCCGGGCUCAACCUGGGAACGGCAUCCGGAACUAUCAAGCUAGAGUGCAGGAGAGGAAGGUAGAAUUCCCGGUGUAGCGGUGAAAUGCGUAGAGAUCGGGAGGAAUACCAGUGGCGAAGGCGGCCUUCUGGACUGACACUGACACUGAGGUGCGAAAGCGUGGGUAGCAAACAGGAUUAGAUACCCCGGUAGUC